rnacentral:rRNA from 1 species
AACGUAGGAGACGAGCGUUAUCCGGAUUUACUGGGCGUAAAGAGCGUGUAGGAGGCAUGGCAAGUUGGAUGUAAAAUCUCCCGGCUUAACUGGGAGGCGUCGUUCAAGACUGCUGAGCUAGAGUACGGCAGAGGUAAUCGGAACUCCGGGAGUAGCGGUGAAAUGCGUAGAUAUCCGGAAGAACACCAGAGGCGAAAGCGGAUUACUGGGCCGAAACUGACACUGAGACGCGAAAGCCAGGGUAGCAAAC